rnacentral:rRNA from 1 species
AAUGAACGCUGGCGGCAUGCCUAACACAUGCAAGUCGAACGAGACCUUCGGGUCUAGUGGCGCACGGGUGCGUAACGCGUGGGAACCUGCCCUUAGGUUCGGAAUAACUCCCCGAAAGGGGUGCUAAUACCGGAUAAUGUCUUCGGACCAAAGAUUUAUCGCCUUUGGAUGGGCCCGCGUUGGAUUAGCUAGUUGGUAGGGUAAAAGCCUACCAAGGCGACGAUCCAUAGCUGGUCUGAGAGGAUGAUCAGCCACACUGGGACUGAGACACGGCCCAGACUCCUACGGGAGGCAGCAGUGGGGAAUAUUGGACAAUGGGCGAAAGCCUGAUCCAGCAAUGCCGCGUGAGUGAUGAAGGCCUUAGGGUUGUAAAGCUCUUUUACCCGGGAUGAUAAUGACAGUACCGGGAGAAUAAGCUCCGGCUAACUCCGUG